rnacentral:rRNA from 1 species
GACGAACGCUGGCGGCGCGCCUAACACAUGCAAGUCGAACGGAGUCAAGAGGAGCUUGCUUUUCUUGACUUAGUGGCGAACGGGUGAGUAACGCGUGAGUAACCUGCCCUGGAGUGGGGGACAACAGUUGGAAACGACUGCUAAUACCGCAUAAGCCCACGGAUCCGCAUGGAUCUGCGGGAAAAGGAUUUAUUCGCUUCAGGAUGGACUCGCGUCCAAUUAGCUAGUUGGUGAGGUAACGGCCCACCAAGGCGACGAUUGGUAGCCGGACUGAGAGGUUGAACGGCCACAGUGGGACUGAGACACGGCCCAGACUCCUACGGGAGGCAGCAGUGGGGGAUAUUGCACAAUGGGGGAAACCCUGAUGCAGCGACGCCGCGUGGAGGAAGAAGGUUUUCGGAUUGUAAACUCCUGUCGUGAGGGACGAUAAUGACGGUACCUAACAAGAAAGCACCGGCUAACUACGUG